UACGGAGGGAGCUAGCGUUAUUCGGAAUUACUGGGCGUAAAGCGCACGUAGGCGGCUUUGUAAGUUAGAGGUGAAAGCCUGGAGCUCAACUCCAGAAUUGCCUUUAAGACUGCAUCGCUUGAAUCCAGGAGAGGUGAGUGGAAUUCCGAGUGUAGAGGUGAAAUUCGUAGAUAUUCGGAAGAACACCAGUGGCGAAGGCGGCUCACUGGACUGGUAUUGACGCUGAG
rnacentral:rRNA from 1 species